AUUGAACGCUGGCGGCAGGCUUAACACAUGCAAGUCGAGCGAGGGGCGGACGGGUGAGUAAUGUCUGGGAAACUGCCUGAUGGAGGGGGAUAACUACUGGAAACGGUAGCUAAUACCGCAUACCAUCAGAUGUGCCCAGAUGGGAUUAGCUCGUAGGUGGGGUAAUGGCUCACCUAGGCGACGCUCCCUAGCUGGUCUGAGAGGAUGACCAGCCACACUGGCACUUAGACACGGCCCAGACUCCUACGGGAGGCAGCAGUGGGGAAUAUUGCACAAUGGGCGCAAGCCUGAUGCAGCCAUGCCGCGUGUGUGAAGAAGGCCUUAGGGUUGUAAAGCACUUUCAGCGAGGAGGCGUUACCCGCAGAAGAAGCACCGGCUAACUCCGUGCCAGCAGCCGCGGUAAUUC
rnacentral:rRNA from 1 species